UAGUCCACGCCCUAAACGAUGCUUACUCGAUAUCUGAUGAAUUUUGGGUGUCCAAGGGAAACCGUUAAGUAAGCCACCUGGGUAGUACGUUCGCAAGAAUGAAACUCAAAGGAAUUGACGGGGGUCCACACAAGCGGUGGAGCAUGUGGUUUAAUUCGAUGAUACGCGAGGGACCGUUACCGUGGGCUCGAACGCUAUUGGACAGUCUAUGAAAGUAGAUUUUUCUUCGGAACCGAUAGUGAGGUGCUGCAUGGUUGUCGUCAGCUCGUGCCGUGAGGUGUUGGGUUAAGUCCCGCAACGAGCGCAACCCUUAUCUUUAGUUGCCAGCAUGUAAUGAUGGGGACUCUAAAGAGACUGCCUCCGUAAGGAGUGAGGAAGGUGGGGAUGACGUCAAAUCAUCAUGGCCUUUAUGCCCAGGGCUACACACGUGCUACAAUGGCCAGUACAGAGGGUCGCGAAACCGUGAGGUGGAGCCAAUCUCAGAAAGCUGGUCUUAGUUCGGAUCGAAGUCUGGAA
rnacentral:rRNA from 1 species